UUGACACAGGGAGGUAGUGACAAGAAAUAACAAUACGGGGCUCAACGCCUUGUAAUUGGAAUGAUGGGAACCUAAACCCCUUCCAGAGUAUCAAUUGGAGGGCAAGUCUGGUGCCAGCAGCCGCGGUAAUUCCAGCUCCAAUAGCGUAUAUUAAAAUUGUUGCAGUUAAAAAGCUCGUAGUUGAAUUUCUGCCGCAUCGCGGCGGCCCUCCCGGGCCCAGCGUUGCGGCUUAUUUCGGACUCGCUUGCGUCUCCGAAUGUU
rnacentral:rRNA from 1 species